UACGUAGGGACCAAGCGUUGUUCGGAUUUACUGGGCGUAAAGGGCGCGUAGGCGGCUUAACAAGUCACUUGUGAAAUCUCCGGGCUUAACUCGGAACGGCCAAGUGAAACUGUCAAGCUAGAGUGCAGAAGGGGCAAUCGGAAUUCUUGGUGUAGCGGUGAAAUGCGUAGAUAUCAAGAGGAACACCUGCGGCGAAGGCGGGUUGCUGGGCUGAUACUGACGCUGAUGCGCGAAAGCCAGGGGAGCGAACGGG
rnacentral:rRNA from 1 species